rnacentral:rRNA from 1 species
AGUGAACGCUGGCGGUAGGCCUAACACAUGCAAGUCGAACGGCAGCACAGUAAGAGCUUGCUCUUACGGGUGGCGAGUGGCGGACGGGUGAGGAAUACAUCGGAAUCUACUUUUUCGUGGGGGAUAACGUAGGGAAACUUACGCUAAUAGCGCAUACGACCUACGGGUGAAAGCAGGGGAUCUUCGGACCUUGCGCGAUUGAAUGAGCCGAUGUCGGAUUAGCUAGUUGGCGGGGUAUAGGCCCACCAAGGCGACGAUCCGUAGCUGGUCUGAGAGGAUGAUCAGCCACACUGGAACUGAGACACGGUCCAGACUCCUACGGGAGGCAGCAGUGGGGAAUAUUGGACAAUGGGCGCAAGCCUGAUCCAGCCAUACCGCGUGGGUGAAGAAGGCCUUCGGGUUGUAAAGCCCUUUUGUUGGGAAAGAAAAGCAGCAGGUUAAUACCCCGCUGUUCUGACGGUACCCAAAGAAUAAGCACCGGCUAACUUCGUG